rnacentral:rRNA from 1 species
CGGCGGACGGGUGAGUAACGCGUGGGUAACCUGCCUCAUACAGGGGGAUAACAGUUAGAAAUGACUGCUAAUACCGCAUAAGACCACAGCACCGCAUAGUGCGGGGGUAAAAACUCCGGUGGUAUGAGAUGGACCCGCGUCUGAUUAGCUAGUUGGUAAGGUAACGGCUUACCAAGGCGACGAUCAGUAGCCGACCUGAGAGGGUGACCGGCCACAUUGGGACUGAGACACGGCCCAA